AUUGAACGCUGGCGGCAGGCUUAACACAUGCAAGUCGAGCGGGGGAAGGUAGCUUGCUACCGGACCUAGCGGCGGACGGGUGAGUAAUGCUUAGGAAUCUGCCUAUUAGUGGGGGACAACAUCUCGAAAGGGAUGCUAAUACCGCAUACGUCCUACGGGAGAAAGCAGGGGAUCUUCGGACCUUGCGCUAAUAGAUGAGCCUAAGUCGGAUUAGCUAGUUGGUGGGGUAAAGGCCUACCAAGGCGACGAUCUGUAGCGGGUCUGAGAGGAUGAUCCGCCACACUGGGACUGAGACACGGCCCAGACUCCUACGGGAGGCAGCAGUGGGGAAUAUUGGACAAUGGGGGGAACCCUGAUCCAGCCAUGCCGCGUGUGUGAAGAAGGCCUUAUGGUUGUAAAGCACUUUAAGCGAGGAGGAGGCUACUCUAGUUAAUACCUAGGGAUAGUGGACGUUACUCGCAGAAUAAGCACCGGCUAACUCUGUGCCAGCAGCCGCGGUAAUACAGAGGGUGCGAGCGUUAAUCGGAUUUACUGGGCGUAAAGCGUGCGUAGGCGGCUUAUUAAGUCGGAUGUGAAAUCCCCGAGCUUAACUUGGGAAUUGCAUUCGAUACUGGUGAGCUAGAGUAUGGGAGAGGAUGGUAGAAUUCCAGGUGUAGCGGUGAAAUGCGUAGAGAUCUGGAGGAAUACCGAUGGCGAAGGCAGCCGUCUGGCCUAAUACUGACGCUGAGGUACGAAAGCAUGGGGAGCAAACAGGAUUAGAUACCCUGGUAGUCCAUGCCGUAAACGAUGUCUACUAGCCGUUGGGGCCUUUGAGGCUUUAGUGGCGCAGCUAACGCGAUAAAGUAGACCGCCUGGGGGAGUACGGUCGCAAGACUAAAACUCAAAUGAAUUGACGGGGGCCCGCACAAGCGGUGGAGCAUGUGGUUUAAUUCGAUGCAACGCGAAGAACCUUACCUGGCCUUGACAUACUAGAAACUUUCCAGAGAUGGAUUGGUGCCUUCGGGAAUCUAGAUACAGGUGCUGCAUGGCUGUCGUCGGCUCGUGUCGUGAGAUGUUGGGUUAAGUCCCGCAACGAGCGCAACCCUUUUCCGUACUUGCCAGCAUUUCGGAUGGGAACUUUAAGGAUACUGCCAGUGACAAACUGGAGG
rnacentral:rRNA from 1 species